GUUUUAAUGGAGGUAAAAUGUAUAUAUGGUGAAACACAAAGAUCUUAAAUGUGUAAUACUGAAUUUUGAUAUAAUCAUUGCCCCAGUGAAGAUACAGAACUUGUUCAUCCCUUGUAAAGCUCCCUCUUGCCUCCUCCCAUCAGUCCCCACCCAACUUAGGCAGCCAGUGGUUAAGGACAGACUAUUCCUUAGAGAAUAUAAGAGAACUCGAUGAUGGGUUAAACGUAGAAAGAGCAAUGUCUGUGUUCUCGUAUUCUUUCACUAUUUGUAGGUAAUGUUCCUUUUAAAGUUACUAACCAUAUUUCUGUGUUCUUUUUCAGCCCAUGGACCAAGCUUCUCUCAAAAACAGCGAUGUUCUUGUUCUGACAGGGCUUACCCAGAUCCCUACUGCAAACCCAGAUGGAAUGGUGGGGGAGUUCUGCAGCAACCUAGCUCUGACAGUCCGGAAUGGAGGAAACGUGUUGGUUCCCUGCUACCCUUCUGGAGUGAUCUAUGACCUCCUGGAGUGCCUAUAUCAGUACAUCGACUCAGCCGGGCUCUCCAGCGUCCCCCUCUACUUCAUCUCCCCUGUGGCCAACAGUUCACUGGAGUUUUCCCAGAUCUUUGCUGAGUGGCUUUGUCACAACAAACAGAGUAAGGUGUAUCUUCCAGAACCACCUUUUCCUCAUGCAGAGCUCAUUCAGACCAAUAAGCUGAAGCACUACCCCAGCAUCCACGG
rnacentral:sRNA from 1 species